GACGAACGCUGGCGGCGUGCUUAACACAUGCAAGUCGAACGGAGUGGCGAACGGGUGAGUAACACGUGGGUGAUCUGCCUUGCACUUCGGGAUAAGCUUGGGAAACUGGGUCUAAUACCGGAUAGUGCAAGAUGAGCUCGCGGCCUAUCAGCUUGUUGGUGUGGUAAUGGCCUACCAAGGCGUCGACGGGUAGCAGGCCUGGGAGGGUGUACGGCCACAUGGGGACUUCGAUACGGCCCAGACUCCUACGUGGAGCAGCAGUGGGGAAUAUUGCACAAUGAGCGCGAGUCUGUGGCAGCGACGCCGCGUGGGGAAUGAAGGCCUUCGGGGUAUAAACUCCUUUCGACAGGGACGCGGUACCUGUAUAAGAAGCACCGGCUAACUACGUGCCAGCAGCCGCGGUAAUUC
rnacentral:rRNA from 1 species